GAUGAACGCUGGCGGCGUGCCUAACACAUGCAGGUCGAGCGAUUUACUUCGGUAAAGAGCGGCGGACGGGUGAGUAACGCGUGGGUAACCUGCCCUGUACACACGGAUAACAUACCGAAAGGUAUGCUAAUACGAGAUAACAUGCUUUUAUCGCAUGGUAGAAGUAUUAAAGCUCUGGCGGUACAGGAUGGACCCGCGUCUGAUUAGCUAGUUGGUAAGGUAACGGCUUACCUAGGCGACGAUCAGUAGCCGACCUGAGAGGGUGAUCGGCCACAUUGGAACUGAGACACGGUCCAAACCCCUACGGGAGGCAGCAGUGGGGAAUACUGCACAAUGGGCGAAAGCCUGAUGCAGCAACGCCGCGUGAGCGAUGAAGGCCUUCGGGUCGUAAAGCUCUGUCCUCAAGGAAGAUAAUGACGGUACUUGAGGAGGAAGCCCCGGCUAACUACGUGCCAGCCGCCGCCGUAA
rnacentral:rRNA from 1 species